UCUGCUUCUUCUUCUUCUUCUUCUUUG
rnacentral:sRNA from 1 species